UGGGGAAUAUUGCACAAUGGAGGGAACUCUGAUGCAGCGACGCCGCGUGAACGAAGAAGGCUUUCGAGUCGUAAAGUUCUUUUAUAUGGGAAGAUAAUGACGUUACCAUAAGAAAAAGCCCCGGCUAACUACGUGCCAGCAGCCGCGGUAAUACGUAGGGGGCUAGCGUUGUCCGGAAUCACUGGGCGUAAAGGGUUCGCAGGCGGAAAUGCAAGUCAGGUGUAAAAGGCAUUAGCUUAACUACUGUAAGCAUUUUAAACUGCAUAUCUUGAGAAGAGUAGAGGUAAGUCGAAUUUUUAGUGUAGAGGUGAAAUGCGUAGAUAUUAAAAAGAAUACCGGUUGCGAAGGCGACUUACUGGCCUCAUACUGACGCUGAGGAACGAAAGCGUGGGUAGCAAACAGG
rnacentral:rRNA from 1 species